UACAGAGGGGGCAAGCGUUAUUCGGAAUUAUUGGGCGUAAAGGGCGCGUAGGCGGCUUUGCAAGUGACGGGUGAAAGCCCUCGGCUUAACCGAGGAACUGCCUGUCAGACUGUGAGGCUUGAGACCGGGAGAGGUGAGUGGAAUUCCAGGUGUAGCGGUGAAAUGCGUAGAUAUCUGGAGGAACACCGGUGGCGAAGGCGGCAUCCUGGACCGGCAGUUGACGCUGAGGCGCGAAAGCCAGGG
rnacentral:rRNA from 1 species